CCCGGAGCGGAGAACGGCCUGUCCGCAGCCCUCCUGCGCGCCUCAGCUGGCGGAAGCCCGUGCUUAGCUUAACUAUGGCUGUUAUUAGUGCUUCCAACGGGUUUUUGGCUGAGGUUUCAUCUGUGAACGCCUUAGUUGCCAACACUCUGACUGCUGGCUUAAGCCAAAGGUAGGAAAGGCUGAGCACCUUGAGAGCCUUGGCUAGGCCCAGCUGCCCUGGCCUUCAGAUCUACCCAAACUUGCUCGAGGAUGCUUAGGCUAGAAAGCAGAGUAAAACUGAAUUGGCUGGUAAAGCUGAAAGAAGAUGCUUGAAGAAGGAUCUUUCUUCUAGACUAAUCCGGACCAACAGAGCCCUGUUGCUGGCGUCUUUGUUAUGCAAAUCUUCUACUGCAGAAAAAAAUCGAGUCUUCUGCUGACCUUCACUUCGGCUUAGGGAAGCAGUGACACCCAGCGGCUAGGGAAUAAAAAGAGCUUUCUCGUUCUCUUAUUUCUUACACAGCGCAUCUCAGGAAACACAUCAGGGGAAAAAAAAAUGGCAGGGAUCCUUCGGCGUUCCCUUCUGGUUGUGCAUAUUUGCAUAUGGCACCCGUUACGGGCAGCCUGACAGCCUGGGAACGGAUAACCCGGCAGGGAAAAUAAAAUGCAGAACAGGAAACAAACAGAAAACACCCUAUGAGGCAGCUCAUGGUUCUCAUGCAUUUAAAAGGACACCGCAGACAGGAAACAUCAUUGGUAUUUUUCAAGUAUUACAAAGGCCUUUUAGUCAGUAAAAAGCACUUUCCUGUAUCACACCUCGGGCCCUGGCUUCACAAAAUAUUCCUUCUUAAAAAGGUUUUUUUUUCCUAACCUUAUUUCUCUACCAAAGACAAAUGAAAAAAUGAAUGUCAGGCCUUUGAAGAAACAACGGCAAGGUGACUGAAAAGGAAUAGCUAGAGGGGAGCCUCCUUGUUCAGUAUUUUCAUUUAUUAGUGUUCCCAGCAUCAGAGGCAACAGUUCCUUUGUGAAGUCCUAUUCGGUGCACUAACUUAGUGCUCUUGUGUUCAAUGAACAAAACAUCAAAGCAUUAGAUAUGAGUAAGGAACUGGGCCAGCAGAGGUAGCUGUUAACGCAACAAAACCAACUACCAUUAUAAAUAGUUUUGUCAGUGAAGACGUAUAGAAGAAAACAUUCUUAAACCAGGUAUGCAGACCUUGUACAGUAGCUGCCACUGGGAAUUCACCUGCGAUUGAAUGGCUCCUCCCUCGCUUUCUGCCCCUUGGAUUUCCUUGAGACUGCCCUUUUCAUAGCCUUACUAAUUGCUCCUAUCUUCCCACCUCUCCAUUUGUACUCUGUCAACGUGGAGUUCAGAAAGAAUGAAGCAACCCCAAAUAAACCUGAAGCUGGCUUAUUAAAAGAAGUUUAUUGAGUACUGAUUCUUCCCAGCAUUUGCAAACAUCAUUUGUACUUUCUGUGUCUCCAAAUUUACGCUGACCUCUGAAAGGAGGAGAAAGUUAAAGGAUUUUUACACUUGAGUAGAUGUACAUACCUUCCAAAUCCAGAAGUGCACUGUUUACACUAACUGUUGCUGUUAACAGUGACAAAAGGCACGUUCCCAUAUCUGGAGGUCUCACGUGAUUGCUGUACGUGUGCCUUGGCUGAUGCCGAUGGAGCAAAAAGAACUUGCAGUCUCUGUCAGCAUUUUAAUAAUGAUCUCCAUCCAAGGGACUUCAUGUGUCUUACUAGAAACAUUUCUGUGCUAAAGGGUAUGCUUUGCCAUGUUAUAGCAUUAACGAUGUACAUAGUUAACAGCCAUUAUACUUUGGCUAGAUGUCCUAAAUGCUAGACCUAGCAGUUUCCUGACUAUUUCCAGGACCACAAAACAAUAGCCUUUUUGUUGGAACACCAGCAGGGCUGCAACACAGUGGCAUCCAUCUCAUAACGGAGGACCUUUUGGGGUCAGACUGAAAGAACCAUGGGCAAACUCUGCCACAGAGGGUGAGAUUCAAUUGCACGGCCAACAAAACUUAAAGCACAUUUAGCAAGUUCUAAAGUACUUGACAUUAUCUUAUGUUUCUCAGAAUGUAUCUGUCUUCCAGCCCAUACUCCAAGGACUGCUUAUGUAUUUCACAUUUCAUGUUUAUGUAAAAUGUGUAAACACAGUGGAACAAGGCCUGAAAUCCAGAUCUCUCUGAGCUCAGUACCUUCUUGCCUGUCUUCUGGCAGUAUCUCUGUGAAAGACAAAGCACCAGUUCCCACUGCAAGGAAAGCAUAACUCAAAACUUAACAAAAGUUGUGAUACAGAAGUCUGCUCCUGUUGUUUGUUCCUAUUAGAAGCAUCUUGAAAGGUAAAAAACAGGAGCUCCCAGCCAUUUCUUCCACCAUCUCUUUUGCAUUUCCUACCACCUGCACUCCAAAGUGACAAUAUGCCUAUUGAAGACAACUGUUAGGCAAGCACUCAUGCUAUGGAGUACUCCCUUUGAGCAAUGACAAGCCUUCAGAUACAAUUCUUACUUCCUGAGGCAAACUCUUGGCAGUUGGUCUGGCUGCUCUGAACUCCAGCAGAGCCCAUCUCCACUCUGUCACUCAGUGUCUCAAUUUUUAGGCACCAUCACAAGCAUCAGGUACUAAAAAAACUAAGAACCUCAUACGAAUGCUUUUUGCUUCUAACCUCAACACCUUUAUUCGACACCAGGGCACCUUAUUUUAUCCAAGCUCCUCAACUAACCAAGACAGUCAGCCUACCUGAGAACAUGCACAUAAAACUAACUAAAUUCUGUGAGACAAAUGUGGUAGAAGACACAGACGAAUGCAGAUUUUGUCCCCAGAUCUUCACUGCUAGUGCUGUAAUAGGCAACAGCAAACAAUAAACUCUGAAGGGUGCGUAUAGUUAAAAUUAGGUCUGUUUGGGCAUUCUUUUAAGUCAGGAUUUUACCCAUAAUGAUGCAAUUAUGCAAUUGCAAAAUUUGUGCAAUUGAUUUUAUACAUAACAAUACCAAUCCUUAGUGUUUGUGUAGUUUAGGCUUUUAGUUUUGAUACAGUCAGCAUCAGGCAUGACCACACAUACAAGGCAGGCAAAAGCACACACAGAAACAGGCUUAUUACCAAAGUUUCAGAGCUACAAAGAACCCCUGUCCUCAGUAUCAAUGAUGCAGCGAAGUUUGAUACAUUUUAAGGUCAGAAGAGAGUAGAAUGACAAGAGUUGUAUCCUGCCAGGACAAAACAUUAAUUAGUUAAUUCUUCUGCUAUCUCAGUAAGUUUUAGCCCACAUUUUUUUUCCUCCUCCUCCCCCCCCUCCCCCCAAGGUUAUCUAAUACAUAUACCAGCUAAUUAAGGAUAUCCUGUGACACUUGAUUCAGCACAUUUGGAAAAUCCACGCUGUCCUGUUCACGCUUCAAUCUAAGUACAUAUAGACAUGAUUAUGUAUGGUAAUGGCUCCUAUGGAUCAUACUGUGGAACACUACAUCUAUUGCUAGAUGCCAUUUCUACUGUAGUACUCAAACUGAGAUGGAAACUCUACAUAAUCUGUUUCUUCAUACUGUUACCCAUUUUUUAGAAAAACAAACACAAAAUGGAACUUGCUUUCCUAUCACAGUCAUCUUCUGGAGUGAACACUAGACGUCUUCUAUCUUCUUUGCAGGCCAUCACACAACGAGCUGGCAUUUUCAGAGCCUUUAAUUAACAAGAAACUUACUUGAGUAGAUGUAGCAGUACUUAAAAAUGCAGCAGAAUGCCUUGAAUGCAGAAUCUCUGACUAAUCUAGACUAACAGGAUUUUAUCAGAACUGACUAAUCUAGAUCGACAAGAUGAAGGACCUGAGGGAAUGGCAUGAAGCUGCACCAGGGGAGGCUCAAGUUGCUUCUGGGAAGCAGUUCUUCACCAAGAGGGUGGUCACAAACUGGAACAGGCUCCCAGGGCAGUGAUCACGGCACCAAACUGCUGGAGAUCAAGAAGCGUUUGGAUGAUGCCCUCAGACUUAGGGUUUGAAUUUUGGGUGGUUCUGUAUAGAGCCAGGAAUUGGACUUGAUGAUCUCUUAGAAAUACAGACGUAUUUAUGCAUUCAGGAAAAAAAAAAA